AUCCCAUGAUGAGGAUACCUUCUUAAAAGAUCCUUAAAUCUCUCCCAUGCAUCAUAUACUGUCUCAAGCUCAAAUUGAGCAAAAGAAGAGGUAUCAUUCCUCAACUU
rnacentral:snoRNA from 1 species